rnacentral:rRNA from 1 species
GACGAACGCUGGCGGCGUGCUUAACACAUGCAAGUCGAACGGAAAGGCCCUGCUUUUGUGGGGUGCUCGAGUGGCGAACGGGUGAGUAACACGUGAGUAACCUGCCCUUGACUUUGGGAUAACUUCAGGAAACUGGGGCUAAUACCGGAUAGGAGCUCCUGCUGCAUGGUGGGGGUUGGAAAGUUUCGGCGGUUGGGGAUGGACUCGCGGCUUAUCAGCUUGUUGGUGGGGUAGUGGCCUACCAAGGCUUUGACGGGUAGCCGGCCUGAGAGGGUGACCGGCCACAUUGGGACUGAGAUACGGCCCAGACUCCUACGGGAGGCAGCAGUGGGGAAUAUUGCACAAUGGGCGGAAGCCUGAUGCAGCAACGCCGCGUGCGGGAUGACGGCCUUCGGGUUGUAAACCGCUUUCGCCUGUGACGAAGCGUGAGUGACGGUAAUGGGUAAAGAAGCACCGGCUAACUACGUGCCAGCAGCCGCGGUGAUACGUAGGGUGCGAGCGUUGUCCGGAUUUAUUGGGCGUAAAGGGCUCGUAGGUGGUUGAUCGCGUCGGAAGUGUAAUCUUGGGGCUUAACCCUGAGCGUGCUUUCGAUACGGGUUGACUUGAGGAAGGUAGGGGAGAAUGGAAUUCCUGGUGGAGCGGUGGAAUGCGCAGAUAUCAGGAGGAACACCAGUGGCGAAGGCGGUUCUCUGGGCCUUUCCUGACGCUGAGGAGCGAAAGCGUGGGGAGCGAACAGGCUUAGAUACCCUGGUAGUCCACGCUGUAAACGGUGGGUACUAGGUGUGGGGUCCAUUCCACGGGUUCCGUGCCGUAGCUAACGCUUUAAGUACCCCGCCUGGGGAGUACGGCCGCAAGGCUAAAACUCAAAGGAAUUGACGGGGCCCCGCGCAAGCGGCGGAGCAUGCGGAUUAAUUCGAUGCAACGCGUAGAACCUUACCUGGGUUUGACAUGGAUCGGGAGCGCUCAGAGAUGGGUGUGCCUCUUUUGGGGUCGGUUCACAGGUGGUGCAUGGCUGUCGUCAGCUCGUGUCGUGAAAUGUUGGGUUAAGUCCCGCAACGAGCGCAACCCUUGUUCACUGUUGCCAGCACGUUAUGGUGGGGACUCAGUGGAGACCGCCGGGGUCAACUCGGAGGAAGGUGGGGAUGACGUCAAGUCAUCAUGCCCCUUAUGUCCAGGGCUUCACGCAUGCUACAAUGGCUGGUACAGAGAGUGGCGAGCCUGUGAGGGUGAGCGAAUCUCGGAAAGCCGGUCUCAGUUCGGAUUGGGGUCUGCAACUCGACCUCAUGAAGUCGGAGUCGCUAGUAAUCGCAGAUCAGCAACGCUGCGGUGAAUACGUUCCCGGG